UUUUUUUAACAAACGGCUAUUCUAUUACUCAAACUUGAGACCAAUAUAACAAAAAGAUCUAUGAAAAGAACAGACAUUCCUAGCUAGCGAAUCAACAAUUUCAUUUUGCGUCCUUGGAAAAUAGCUGAUUUUGAAGUCUGAAAACACAACUGAAGUGUUUGAAUAACCUCCACUUCAGUUGAGAAGUUUGGCCAAGUUUGUGGAUCCGCUGUCAUUGCAAUCUAUCCCAAAUCUCUGACAGGUGGAAUGUUGUAUCAUGCUCUCCAUUGCACAUUUUAACAUUUCCAGUUCCGAGUGUAAUGCUGUCUCGCGCCUCCACAUGUUCUGUGUCCUCGUAAGUUGAAUCUUCCCCAUGCUAUCUUUCCAAAUCUACUAAAUUGAGCUGUGGAGGUCCAUGAACCAUCCACCAUACAAAUAUUACCCAAUCUUAAGGCUUGUAUUUUUUCGGCAGUCUGUGUGCCCGUAGAGGAACAUGUAUGGUAUCCUUUGCAAUAGAGUUUAAUUGUUUUACAAAAAUAUAUAUAUAUAUAUAUAUAUAUAUAUAUAUAUAUAUAUGGGUAAAAGCAUUGAGUUGGCAUUAUUUGAAUAUAUGCUACAAGUAUAAUAAAGAUUGUAGUUUUUUUUUUGUAAGUAUACUUUUUAUCUUUAGGGCCGUUUACUUCUUUUACUACCUUAAUUCCAUGCCACUAGUCAAUUGUGAUUAAGCCUACCUUAGAGCCGAAGUCGACAAAGCCCGAUUCCAAGCACAUAACUUGAAACUGACACCAAAUCAUCAUGCAAGUCCUGACACCUUUCGAUCGCUAAUUAUGGGAUCACUUGAUUGAUAUUUUAUCAAGUAGUUGAGAUUAGAAUGAUAGGAGAAAAAGAUUAUUAGUUCGAAGGUCAGAGAAAUUUCUCUGUUUUCUUUCCUUCAAAUCUCAUUCGGCGUUUCUUUUGCUUUCCGAAACGAUGAUUUGGCGAUUCUAAGCAGAAAUUGAGUGUGGUCUCGGCUUCUACGAAGGACUAGGGAAGAUAUGGAUAGCCGACUGGCCGUUUGUCCAUAGGAAGCGCCGAUCUAAGGAAGUCUCGCCGGACUUUGCAGAGCGUUGCUGCCCUUGAUGUUCUGGUAUGUCGCUGCCUCAUCUUGUCUCGCAGUUCUCCCCUCCGUCGGUUGAUCUGCGAUGUAAAGAUGAUUUGAGGCUCUUGACAGGGACUUAUUCUCGGUCUGACAGCAUAGCUCAAAAUCUUUGCGGCUCCUCUCUUCAGAUAUCCAGAAGAAGUUCUUUUGUUUAUGAAUUACUAUUUGCUUCUACCUGCGUCGCUGAUAUAUGGUAUUUUUGACAUCAUUGUGUAUAUGCUUUCUAAUUUAUUUUCAUUGUUUUAUCGAGUUAGUCUAGUCUUUUUAGAGUGAUUUCAGGUCUGGAGAAGAUUGAAGAGCUAAAGGAAGAGGCAUGAAGAAAGGAGCAAGAAUUGGAGAUUUCUCCCGAAGAACAAUCCGCGGAGCAGUUUGACGGUCGAUCCUACCAGGAACAGCUAGACGAUUGUUCUCGAUAAUUAUGGAAGUUUCCAUAUCCUCCAAAGAUUUGCCCUAGUUGCCGAUUCUCGACUUUGAAGUCUAGGGGCGCCUCCAUAUAAAAGCGGCCCCUAUCUAUUUUAUUUGUCGACGCUAGUUUUUGCAAGAGACUUAGACCUUAUUCUUGGAUAUUGCCAUUGUAAGGGAGACGGCUCCUCUUCUUGACAGAGAAGAUCAUCUUGAACCCCAUUGUUUUACCUUUGAUUUAUAUGCAGUAUUAUUCAGUUAUCAUGUCUUGUUCGUCUUGUGGUAUGGCUGAGUAGUCGGAUAGUUUGUCUAGGGUUCUAGGGUGUUAAUCGCGAGGCUAAACAUAAAUAAGCAACUCUUUUGUUUCUUUGUUCA